UAGACAUUCUAAUGGCACCCCUGACAGAUCUCCAAAGCCUAGUCAGAAUAAAGAAAACCUGGAAACACCAGCUCUGUAACACAGCACCAUGAUGUGUGAAAAUAUUUGGCAACAAAGCCUUGCAAAAUCAUCCAGCUCAGAGGAGGAUAGCAUUUCUGGGUAACUGUACAUCUAAAUAUAACUCCUCUCUUGUGCUGUGCCGUUAUUAGGAUCUGAUAAUUAUAAGAAACACAACAGGAGUUUGCGCUUCCAGCUCAAAAAGCAAGAAACAGUACAUGGAUUAGCUGGAUAGAUUAAAAAAAUGUGUUCAUUUCUCUGAGACAAAGAUUGCUAUUACGAAAAGUGAUGAAAUUCCACUGGAUUCUGGGUCUGAGCUCCAAGAAUCUGAGGAACCAGCGAGUCAAGAGCAAGCAAUUUCAUGCCUCCUUUUCCUUUGGAUACUGAGAUGGGAAUGUGUGGAGGGUCCAGCCCCAAAACCAAAACCAAAACACCAAAGAACAAUCAACCUCUGCAGGUGGUGCAGGUGAGAGUUGGGCAACUCAUGGGGGACUGGGAGGAUUAGCAUCUGUAAAAGUCUGGGUGCAAAAGAACCCAAUAAAAACAUUUCAAGAGACAUACAAAUCUGGCUGUUGAUGUGAAGGUGCCUAGUUUUAUAUUUCAGGAACCACUUUUGAACCUUUCAGCCCGGUGGUGGAUCACGACCACCGGGAAACUCAGCACCCUUCAUGGAAGAAGGUUUUUUGGAUCUUAUAAAAGUGAAAAUAAAGGCUACGCUGGCAGUUUCAUUAGGGGCUUGAGGACCUUAGAUGCCACAACUGCCCCCUUCUAGCAAGUGAAUGUCAAGUGUGACCUCUGUCCAGCAUCACCCUGGGAUUCUCUUCCAUGGAAGACCACAGUUCCUGGUCAUCGUCUUGUCCCUUGGGGCUGCCCAACUUCUGGUUUUUGCCUGUGUUCUCAUGAAGUGUCAAUCUGGUUGCCCGGCUUCUCUGUAUCCACUCAGAUGAAUCCAGGAAAUGGACUGAAAUGUGCGCUGGGCAGGUGCUUGUGAUCUGUGUUUUCUGGGCAAUGCAGGAGCUACUGAUUUAAGUGGACGUCAUGAAACUUUGAAAAGAAACCCAGGAGAAGACUCGACUGUGGCUGAAAGGCAGAAGGUACCAUCUCGUAUUUGGAGAUUCUGCACAUUGUUCAGCCCAGGUCAUAAAUGCUGGGACUGAGCUACAUUAUAUGAUGAAGAUAGACUUGGCUACAAGAUUGUGGAGAUUUGGGUUCUAACAUGACAAUCAACACAACCGUGUAUUUUCUGAGUGACUAGAGCACCUUCCUUCCCAUCUCUGGUUCCAUGAAAUGCAAAAGCAAAUCCAAAAACAAGAUACCAAUAAAUAAAAAACAAACAAACAAACAAACAACCUUUGGCUUAAUGAAUUCAGUGAGUUCCCAAACCAGUCAGCUGCAAAUGGGUUUUGUAAAUUCCCAGCAUGUUUCUGAGCCACUGUAUUACUGUUUCAGUAUUUAUACUGAAAGCUCACUUUGAAAACUUUAAUAGUUAUCUUUGAAUGAACUUCUAGAUCUUACUAUAUGUAUUAAAGUGACA